UAGGUCCUGACUUGGGCGAUUCCCU
rnacentral:misc_RNA from 1 species